rnacentral:ncRNA from 1 species
AUUAAGCCAUGCAUGUCUAAGUAUAUGCAAACUAUACAGUGAAACUGCGAAUGGUUCAUUAAAUCAGUUAUCGUUUAUUUGGUAGUACCUUACCACUUGGAUAACCAUGGUAAUUCUAGAGCUAAUACAUGCCAAAAACCUCGACCUCUGGAAGAGGGGUAUUUGUUACAUAAAAAACCAAUGCCUUCGGGCUCCUUGGUGAUUCAUGAUGACUUUACGAAUCGCAUGGCCUUGCGCCAGCAAUGGUUCAUUCAAAUUUCUGCCCUAUCAACUUUCGGUAGUAGGAUAGUGGCCUACCAUGGUGGCAACGGGUAACGGGGAAUUAGGGUUCUAUUCCGGAGAGGGGGCCUGAGAAACGGCUACCACAUCCAAGGAAGGCAGCGCGUU